UACGAAGGGGGCUAGCGUUGUUCGGAAUCACUGGGCGUAAAGGGCGCGUAGGCGGCUUUGUCAGUCGGGGGUGAAAGCCUGUGGCUCAACCACAGAAUUGCCUUCGAUACUGCAUGGCUUGAGACCGGAAGAGGUUAGUGGAACUGCGAGUGUAGAGGUGAAAUUCGUAGAUAUUCGCAAGAACACCAGUGGCGAAGGCGGCUGACUGGUCCGGUUCUGACGCUGAGGCGCGAAAGCGUGGGGAGCAAACAGG
rnacentral:rRNA from 2 species